rnacentral:rRNA from 2 species
CGUAGGUGACCUGCGGAAGGAUC